UCAUCUGUUUCCCUCGCUUCUCACACUUUGUCUUGAGUUAUUUUUAUAAUUAUGGUGUUUUUUAAUAUAAAAAAUUGAUUUAAUUAAAGUGUUGGUUAUUAUUCAAUAUGGUUUAUCAUUUAUAGUUGAGCUUCAACUCUGAACGAAUGACUGUCACGGUGGGUCAUCCCUAUGGCAAGUUUCAGUUCCAAUGGCAAUAGUUAUAUUCAACUACAUGUAAUUAAUUUGCAUACUCAUUACAAAUAAGGUUUACAAAUUGCUCGUUUUAUCGCCAUUUCAGUCGUCAUGUGUUGUAAAAACUACGAGGAAAAGGAUUUCUCAAUGAAAGGUUUAGCUAACAAUGGCAUUGUACAACCAACUGAAGAUAUUGAUUGUAAAGUUGUAAAGAGGCUUCAUUCAGGUUACAUUGGCAAAGGUUGAUGCAUGUGGAAGUAAUAUGAGAUGACGUAAUGAGUAGGAGUUCAGAAUUGUCCUUUUGGUGAUCUCAAACUUCUGAGCCAAAGAUGUUGGACACGUUUCACUGGAUUGCACUGGUUGGGAGAUAUUAUAGUCUAGUUACAACGAAGAAAAUAAAUUUCGAUGUGUUGCUCUCUUCAUUCAAUUUAUAUAAUUUGUUAUUGAUCAGUCAAGACAACUGUUGAAUUGGUCAACCUCAUCAACCUUGAAGACCAAGAGUAUUUAUAAGUUUCAAAAUUUGGAUUCACUUACUCUUUAAUUUCCCAUCUUAUCAUAUUCACCAACCUGGCCAACAGCAAAUACACGAAGAAAAUGGCAACCCAAAUUAUCGAUAUUUGGUCAAGAGAUCACAUUGAUUAACAAGGUUUCAUUUCAGUGUCCUCCUGAUUCAAUUAACUUUCAGGCUCAUCAAUGAUUUUACAUCAUCUUUAAAUGUUUUCUUCAUUAUUGUAACUACACUCUACAUCCUUACUCGUCAACUCAGUUUCAAAAUCACUUCCAUGGUUUCACCUGAAAUUAAUAAUGAUUGAUAAUUUACAUUCAUUAUUCACAGCAACUUUAAUUAUCAUCAUACCCAACAAAGAUUUUCCUGAUUCCCAAGAAGUUUGUCAGGCUAAGUUAUCACGUCUUCAUAUUAAAUGGCUGGUAAUUAUAGCUUGAUUGGUUUGCAGCUGCAAAAUUGUCAACCUCAACAGACAGCUACUCAAAUUACACUAUGAACCUGUAAACAUUUGGACAUCGUUUAAUCAUUUCCGUUAAUUAAUCACUUCUGAUCUUAAUCGGUAAUGCAAAGCACCAAGACAAUCAAACAAUUGAAAACAACAACUUAAAUAAACAGCAACAAAAUAUUAGGCUUUAAUCCAACAAUCCAACGAUCAUUUGAUUGACAAAAAAAGUACCAGCAGCUAAACUCCAAAUGUGUAAACAAGAUUUUAUCGGAAAUACAAUUGAGCCGCCAACACUAAUACACUUUAAUUGUGUCAAAACAAUGACUUUUAAUCAACAAUCAAAACAGCAAUAAAAGGUGAUGUAAAAAUGAUGAAAAUGAUUGCAUAAAGAUCAGUCAAUGAGCAAAGCUUAAAAAUGUAACCUGAUAUUAAGUUUACCUUUAUGCUUUACCACAUUUAAUUUUAACUUGCAACAAAGUACACAAUUAAUGGAAACAAUUUAAUGCAAAUAAUGAAAAUUAGCAAGAACAAAUCGUGAACAAUUUAGCAAAUACAUAUUUACUAAUUGAUUAACUUGUUGAUUAAACUCUUCAGCUUUUAAUAAACAAUAUGAAAAUUU